rnacentral:tRNA from 1 species
GCCUUCGUGGUGUAGUGAUCAGCAAGCUUGGCGCGUAUUCGAGAGGUCCAGGGUUCCAAUCCCGGCGAGGGCA